rnacentral:rRNA from 1 species
GAUUAACGCUGGCGGCGUGCCUAAUACAUGCAAGUCGAGCGAACGGACGAGAAGCUUGCUUCUCUGAUGUUAGCGGCGGACGGGUGAGUAACACGUGGAUAACCUACCUAUAAGACUGGGAUAACUUCGGGAAACCGGAGCUAAUACCGGAUAAUAUUUUGAACCGCAUGGUUCAAAAGUGAAAGACGGUCUUGCUGUCACUUAUAGAUGGAUCCGCGCUGCAUUAGCUAGUUGGUAAGGUAACGGCUUACCAAGGCAACGAUGCAUAGCCGACCUGAGAGGGUGAUCGGCCACACUGGAACUGAGACACGGUCCAGACUCCUACGGGAGGCAGCAGUAGGGAAUCUUCCGCAAUGGGCGAAAGCCUGACGGAGCAACGCCGCGUGAGUGAUGAAGGUCUUCGGAUCGUAAAACUCUGUUAUUAGGGAAGAACAUAUGCGUAAGUAACUGUGCACAUCUUGACGGUACCUAAUCAGAAAGCCACGGCUAACUACGUG